UGGGGAAUUUUGGACAAUGGGGGAAACCCUGAUCCAGCCAUCCCGCGUGUGCGAUGAAGGCCUUCGGGUUGUAAAGCACUUUUGGCAGGAAAGAAACGCUAUGGGUUAAUACCCCGUGAAACCGACGGUACCUGCAGCAUACGCACCGGCUAACUACGUGCCAGCAGCCGCGGUAAUACGUAGGGUGCAAGCGUUAAUCGGAAUUACUGGGCGUAAAGCGUGCGCAGGAGGUUCGGAAAGAAAGAUGUGAAAUCCCAGGGCUCAACUUUGGAGCUGCAUGUGUAACGACCGGGCUAGAGGGUGUCAGAGGGAGGUGGAAUUCCGCGUGUAGCAGUGAAAUGCGUAGAUAUGCGGAGGAACACCGGUGGCGAAGGCGGCCUCCUGGGAUAACACUGACGCUCAUGCACGAAAGCGUGGGGAGCAAACAGG
rnacentral:rRNA from 1 species